rnacentral:lncRNA from 1 species
GGGGCCUGUUUAUCGAAGCUCUCUUAGGAUUAGAACGUGUCCUAAGACCAACUUAGGACACAUCUUAGUCCUAAGUGGUUUAUCAAACAUGUCUCAACUUAGGAAAACCCUAGGAAUUGUCCUAACUUUAGGAUACCAAUUUAGGUGUCUUAAGAUGGUCGAAGGAUGGUCCUAACUUUAGGAUAUAUUCAAUUUCGUCUUUUGUUCAUUUUCACACG